CAUCUGGCUCAUCUUCACCAUGGACCUGGCGAACUGGUCGAAGAAGGCGGCCUGGUUGAGCGCGAAGCGGGUGGCCGCGCGCUUGGUGUCCGGGUGGUUGAUGAGGCCCUGGUCCGACUUGAAGAGCCCCUGCUUGGCGAUGAGGUCGAAGUAGUACUUGUUGUCGAAGGCGUUGGGCGUGCGCACGUCCAGCACCUGGGUCACCACGUUCCCGCUGGGGUCGCUGGCGCACUUAGCCGUCAGCCUCUGCCGGAACGCCGGGUCCAUGGUGCCGUCGUCCGCGUUGGGCGGCAGCCGGUCGCUGAAGGAGACGCAGUGGCCGCGGCCCACCGUGUGCGCGCCGGACAGCGCCACCAGGUCCGCCUUGUCCAGGCUCCGGUUCUUGAACGACUCGAUCAGCGUCGGCACGUCGAAGAAGGGCGCCGGCAGGGUGCCCACCAGGUCGCUUGACGCCGGCGCCAGACCGUCGCGCCGCCCGAGAGGAACCUCGAAGAAGGGGCCGCCGGACUGGAAGGACAGAUAUAUAUAUAUAUAGGGUGUGAUCGGACGACGACGUACACACUAGCUAGUAGACUCCCAAGUACGAGACAGUCUACUCGAUGCAAGGUGAUCGACUUACCGCGACGACGGCGUCCCUGGUGGCGAGCGUGGUGAUGUCGGCGCAGGACACCGUGGGCCCGCAGACGGCGUGGACGGCGGCGCGGAUGUCGUCGAUGAGCUUGAGCGCCUCGGGACGCAGCGUCUGGUUGGGUACCUCGAUCUGCUCGCUGUUGGAACCAGACAGGAGGACGGACGCGUCGCAGCCCUGAUCGAUUAAACCGACAUGGCACUGUGUUCGUCAGCAUCAACGUAGUCGUACGUACGUUAGAUAGCUAGCAGGGCCGGCCGGUGGGUCGUUAUUACCUGCGGGAAGCAGUCGUGGAAGAAGAUGCGGAUGAGCCCCGCGGCGAUGCCGAUGUCGCGGCGGAGGGCCUCGGCGACGUGCCAGCGCACGAUGCCCUCCACCGACGGGCAGGAAACGUCGUAGAAGCUCCAGGAGAGGCCAUUGGCGAUGGGCUCAUUCACGGUCACCGUGGCCGACGAGAGGGCGGCGGCGCACAGCGCCAGCAGCACGAGGGCCACUGGUCUACUACCACUGGACCUCGCCAUUCUGCUCGCUUGCGAUUGCAUAUAAUUUGUGAACAGGCCAAGCAAGAGACAAGGUGUUGUAGUAUGCGUUAUAUAUUUAUAUGCUCGAUCUGUUGCUGUUGGAUCUCACUUCUCACAAUCCUCAUCCAGACAUGGUGUAGUAAGUCUUCGAUCUGCUGCCCAUAUCAUAUGCUUAAUUAUAUGCAACUUCGUUGCAGCUUCGUUCCACAUACACUGCACACCCACCUACUAAUUAUUCGAUCACUGUUAUAUUCCCUCAGUUUUUUUAUUUGUUACGUUCUAUUUAAAAAUUGAACUAGUGGGUGACAAAUAUUCGAAAACGAAGGUAGUAUUAAAUACUACACCCUCUCUCGUAAUAUAAUUUAUUUUAGAUUAAACAUAUAUUCAUUAGUUAAUGUAUGAAUAUAAUUUGUAGGUAUAUCUAUAUUUAAUAUCAUUUAUUUGAAUGAGUACGGAGGGAGUAUUAUAUACCACCUAUCUAUCUAUCUCUUGCUCACUCAAGCUGACCAUUCUUGCAUUGCUUCGGUUUCUUUAAUUUGUCAUGCAACAAGUUGAUGCAUUUCUCUAACGAUGUUGUGUAGCUGUACACUCCACUGACCCGGCCCGGUUGGAAAGCUAGCUAGCUGCAUGCCUUUUCCCUUUCGUUUGAAAAAUUCAUGAUAAGUUUUAAAUCAUCCGAGUUUGUUAAUUAGGAAGAUGAGAUUUGGAUGAGAUAGAGAUGAUAUAUAAUACCUGCCACUUGCAUUGCCACGUGCAGUUCUCAUCUUCUAUAGCACUGCCAGCGCAGGUAUAUAGUCGUUAAUCUAGCUUGACCAGCAUCAGGUCAGCCAGCCAGCAUGGCUUCAUACUUCCUUGCGAGUCCCAAAGUCAAGCUCACUGUUCAUUCACUCGCAACAUUUCCUUUUUUUUUUUUUUUUGGAACGAGAUUAUUACUCUGCUUUUAGGAAAUCAAAUAAAAUUCUAGCACCCACACCACACACACGAGCUCCACUGGGGACACCAGUUUACAAAAGAAACAUAAGUGAAACAACAUCCAUCUACACACUAAUAUUAGUAGGAAUAAAAGCCUAUGGCACCCCUUCGAUUUUAGAUCACUACAAUAUCAGAUCCCGGCCCUCUCCAUCAAUCGGAUGAAAAUUAUGAAUCCAGUUCUCCAUAGCUUCCAAUGUCUUCUCCAGCAUAGAUCCUUUGACUUGAGUAACACCCUCCGGUUCUAUAGAAAAGAGAUAGAAUCAUGCAUGAUCACAAAUGUACCGCUAGGAAACUUUUUGUUUCAAUCGUCAUCUUGUUUCGAUUACCCAAACUAGCCCACACUAGGCCUGCGAGCAGAAAUAAGCGCGAAAGAAUCGAAAUACAUUUGACUUAGAUCCCAUCCAGUUAUCAAAUAAAUAAAUUGAAAGGGAAAUAUGUUAUAUGACAUUUCUAACUUAGUUUUGGUGAUUAACGAUCAACACAACCUCGACUACUACUAACUAGUCUGCUAAGUGCACAAUUGUAGGUUCAUAAUAAGUGCCAAUUUGUAGAAUCCAACUCAACUUGUAGCUCAAACAGAGGCAAAAUAGGGCAAAUCUUGGAUGAGGUGGGCUAUUACUAGUUCAGUUGUCCUUAGAAAUAUUUUUGAACACCUUAGAGGCUUUGGAUCGAGAGAUUUCAAAAAAGAUGCAUUUGGGACUGAGUUUGAGUGUGAACCAAGACUGAGUUUUAUAAUUAGACUAUAAUAUUUAAUACUCAAAAUUGACAUUCAAAUAUCCAAUAUGACAUGGACUAAUUAAACUUUAGUCAGAAAACUAAACAUCCUGUAAUGUCUUAUUAAUAUAGACCACUUAGAGUCAAAUUCUAAAUUUGGCUGGACCUCUAUAAUAUAUCUAUUAAUUCCAGCAGUGGAAAGCUGGACGCUAGCUUUCUCGUGUAAAGAAGGGGACUGCUUCAUCCUCCACGAGACACUCGUGGCCUCGUGGGAGUGGGACAUGUAAUCGCUAUUUACAGGGCAAAGAAAAUGCAAAAAAGGAUAGAGAGAUAAAGGAUUGGAUACCACGGUCGGUCGUGUCCUAUAUUUAUGAAGGGUGUGUGAGAGGCAUUUCCCAUGGUCGUAGUGGAGUCCGAAUGCCGCAAGAAUUUCCGUGUCCCUUCGUAUGUAAAGGCUUGGAAAUCUUUCAUGUGGUAAAUGAAGUGCCUUUUUCACGAGAAAUGAAGAAAAAAAAUAUAAGGAGAGAGUAGUGCACGCGCCGUACAGAUAGGACAAGGAGAACUGGAGAAGCAACAGCAAAAGACAGGCUUCCAUGAGCCACACACCACAACAGUCAGCUCUUGGCUCUCGUUCUACUCGCAACUCGCGCUCGCCACCCAUUUAUUGUAAAACAAAAUUCUAAUCACGCGUCGGCCGCGAGCCCCUCGUCGCCGGCGGCGGUCUCGAGCUGGUCUGCUGAGACGACGCGGGCGGCGUUGCGCACUGCGCAGUUGAGGCGGACCUCUCCGGCGUUGCCCGUGAGCACGUCCAUCUGGCUCAUCUUGACCAUGGACCUGGCGAACUGGUCGAAGAAGGCGGCCUGGUUGAGCGCGAAGCGCGUGGCGGCGCGUUUGGUGGUCUGGUCGUUGAUGAGGCCCUGGUCCGACUUGAAGAGCCCCUGCUUGGCGAUGAGGUCGAAGUAGUACUUGUUGUCGAAGGCGUUGGGGGUGCGCACGUCCAGCACCUGCGCCGCGCUGGCGUCCUUGGCGCACUUGGCCGCGAGCGUCCGGCGGAACGCCGGGUCCAUGGUGCCGUCGUCGGCGUUGGGCG
rnacentral:lncRNA from 1 species